GUAGGGGUACUGUGCGAUCUUUUUCAUGAUGAUGAACAAUGAAAAAAAUUUUAAAAUUUUAUUUGAGAUCUAAAAUAAUGUAUAUUAGAUCUAAAAUUAGAGUUUUAAUCAUUAGAUGAUUGAUUGUGUAAAUAUUUCAUAAAAUUAGAAAUUAUUUUCAAACAUUAAACUCGAACCCAUAUCAACUCAAAACUUAAUUGAGAAUUAAGUGAUCUAGAUUUGAGAAU
rnacentral:lncRNA from 1 species